rnacentral:rRNA from 1 species
AUUGAACGCUGGCGGCAUGCCUAACACAUGCAAGUCGAACGGCAGCAUGAAUAUGGGUAACCAUAUUUGAUGGCGAGUGGCGGACGGGUGAGUAAUAUGUAGGAAUCUACCUAGAGGAGGGGGAUAACUUGGGGAAACCCAAGCUAAUACCACAUAAGCCCUACGGGGGAAAGCAGGGGAUCGAAAGACCUUGCGCCUUAUGAUGAGCCUACAUCGGAUGAGCUAGUUGGUGGGGUAAAGGCCUACCAAGGCGACGAUCCGUAGCUGGUCUGGGAGGAUGAUCAGCCACACUGGGACUGAGACACGGCCCAGACUCCUACGGGAGGCAGCAGUGGGGAAUAUUGGACAAUGGGCGAAAGCCUGAUCCAGCAAUGCCGCGUGUGUGAAGAAGGCCUUAGGGUUGUAAAGCACUUUCAGUAGGGAGGAGGGUUGUAAUGCUAAUAUCAUUGCAAAUUGACGUUACCUACAGAAGAAGCACCGGCUAACUCUGUGCCAGCCGCCGCGGUAA